UACGUAGGGUGCGAGCGUUAAUCGGAAUUACUGGGCGUAAAGCGUGCGCAGGCGGUUGUGUAAGUAAGAGGUGAAAGCCCGGAGCUCAACUCCGGAACUGCCUUUUAGACUGCAUCGCUUGAAUCCAGGAGAGGUGAGUGGAAUUCCGAGUGUAGAGGUGAAAUUCGUAGAUAUUCGGAAGAACACCAGUGGCGAAGGCGGCUCACUGGUCCGGUACUGACGCUGAGGUGCGAAAGCGUGGGGAGCAAACAGG
rnacentral:rRNA from 1 species